UACGUAGGGGGCAAGCGUUGUCCGGAAUCAUUGGGCGUAAAGCGCUCGUAGGCGGCCCGGUAAGUCCGCUGUAAAAGUCAAAGGCUCAACCUUUGAAUGUCAGUGGAUACUGCCGGGCUAGAGUCCGGAAGAGGCGAGUGGAACUCCUGGUGUAGCGGUGGAAUGCGCAGAUAUCAGGAAGAACACCGACGGCGAAGGCAGCUCGCUGGGACGGUACUGACGCUGAGGCGCGAAAGCGUGGGGAGCGAACAGG
rnacentral:rRNA from 1 species